rnacentral:RNase_P_RNA from 1 species
CCAGUUGGCCGGGCAGCCGCGCUUUACCAAUGUCGAAAGACGGUAAGGGGAGGAAAGUCCGGGCUCCACGGAAAUACGGUGCCGGAUAACGUCCGGCGGGGGUGACCCUAGGGAAAGUGCCACAGAGAGGAAACCGCCUCGAUUGCCCGAUGCCUGCAUCGGGCGCUGCGAGGUAAGGGUGAAAGGGUGGGGUAAGAGCCCACCGCGUCGCUGGCAACAGGGACGGCAUGGUAAACCCCACCGGGAGCAAGACCGAAUAGGGAUGACGCGGGUGACGCGCAAGCGCCACAACAGCCUGUUUCCGGGCCAGUCAUCCGGGUGGGUUGCGAGAGGCAGCGUGCAAAUGCUGUCCCAGAUGAAUGGCUGCCACGUUCCGGGUAACCGGAGCCAUACAGAACCCGGCUUACAGGCCAACUGGCAAA